UCAUUCCCACCCCUAUCCUCUCUCUCUCUCUGUGUCACAUAUAAAUAAAACCCUUCUCCACCCAUUCAUAUUCAUUCACUCAUUCCGUUCCUUCUUCCCUUCCCUCUCUUCACUAUCACUCUCUCUCUCUCUCCAUCUCUCUCAUCCAUCAUGGGAGCAGUGAUUCUCCCAGAUCUCGGCACCGAGAUUUUGAUUCCCGUCUGCGCCAUCAUUGGAAUAGCGUUCGCCCUCUUCCAGUGGGUCCUCGUCUCUAAGGUCAAGCUCUCCGCUGCGAGAGACGCUUCCUCCAACGCCGGCGGCGGCAAAAAUGGCUACAACGAUUACCUCAUCGAAGAAGAGGAAGGCCUCAACGACCACAACGUCGUCCUCAAAUGCGCCGAAAUCCAAAACGCCAUUUCCGAAGGAGCAACCUCUUUCCUUUUCACUGAGUAUAAGUACGUGGGAAUCUUCAUGGUGGCUUUUGCCAUUUUGAUAUUCCUCUUCCUUGGCUCUGUGGAAGGAUUCAGCACAAGCUACCAGCCUUGCACCUAUGACCAAACUAAAAUGUGUAAGCCAGCUCUUGCCACUGCUGUUUUCAGCACCAUAUCUUUCCUGCUUGGAGGUGUCACAUCGCUUAUUUCUGGAUUCCUUGGAAUGAAAAUUGCAACUUAUGCCAAUGCAAGAACCACCCUGGAGGCAAGAAAGGGUGUUGGAAAGGCUUUCAUUACGGCUUUUAGAUCUGGUGCAGUUAUGGGUUUUCUCCUUGCUGCAAAUGGUCUUUUGGUUCUUUACAUUGCCAUCAACUUGUUCAAGAUUUACUAUGGUGAUGACUGGGGUGGUCUUUUUGAGGCCAUCACUGGUUAUGGUCUUGGUGGGUCUUCUAUGGCUUUGUUUGGAAGAGUAGGUGGAGGUAUCUAUACUAAGGCUGCUGAUGUUGGUGCUGAUCUUGUCGGAAAGGUCGAAAGAAACAUCCCGGAAGAUGAUCCAAGAAAUCCAGCUGUGAUUGCUGAUAAUGUUGGUGAUAAUGUUGGUGAUAUCGCUGGUAUGGGAUCUGAUCUUUUUGGUUCAUAUGCCGAGUCAUCCUGUGCUGCUCUUGUUGUUGCUUCCAUCUCUUCUUUUGGGGUGAAUCAUGAGUUGACUGCUAUGUUAUACCCUCUAAUUAUCAGUUCUGUGGGUAUCCUUGUUUGUUUGCUCACAACUUUAUUUGCAACUGACUUCUUUGAGAUCAAGGCUGUAAAGGAGAUUGAGCCUGCAUUGAAGAAACAGCUCAUCAUUUCCACUGCCUUGAUGACUAUUGGGAUUGCAAUUGUUAGUUGGAUUGCACUCCCAACUUCCUUCACUAUCUUCAAUUUUGGAGUGCAGAAAGAUGUCAAGAAUUGGCAGCUAUUCUUGUGUGUUGCUGUUGGUCUUUGGGCAGGGCUUAUUAUUGGAUUUGUAACUGAGUACUAUACUAGCAAUGCAUAUAGUCCGGUGCAAGACGUUGCAGACUCCUGCAGGACUGGUGCUGCAACUAAUGUUAUCUUUGGCCUUGCCUUGGGAUACAAGUCUGUUAUUAUCCAAUUUUUGCUAUUGCAAUCAGUAUUUUUGUUAGUUUCACCUUUGCUGCCAUGUAUGGUAUUGCCGUUGCUGCACUUGGCAUGCUGAGUACCAUUGCCACCGGAUUGGCCAUUGAUGCAUAUGGUCCAAUCAGUGACAAUGCUGGAGGUAUUGCUGAGAUGGCCGGUAUGAGUCACAGAAUUAGAGAGAGAACUGAUGCCCUUGAUGCUGCCGGAAACACAACUGCCGCAAUUGGGAAGGGAUUUGCCAUCGGUUCUGCUGCCCUUGUAUCUCUGGCCCUCUUUGGUGCCUUUGUGAGCCGAGCUGCUAUUACAACUGUUGAUGUGUUGACUCCAAAGGUUUUCAUUGGUUUGAUUGUGGGUGCAAUGCUUCCUUACUGGUUUUCUGCCAUGACCAUGAAGAGUGUGGGAAGUGCUGCUCUGAAGAUGGUUGAGGAAGUACGCAGGCAAUUCAACACCAUUCCAGGAUUGAUGGAGGGAACUGCUAAGCCUGACUACGCCACUUGUGUUAAGAUCUCCACUGAUGCUUCCAUUAAAGAAAUGAUUCCACCUGGUGCUCUUGUCAUGCUUACACCCCUUGUUGUUGGAAUCCUUUUUGGUGUCGAAACACUUUCUGGUGUCCUAGCUGGAUCUUUGGUGUCUGGUGUACAGAUUGCUAUCUCUGCAUCCAACACCGGUGGUGCUUGGGAUAAUGCCAAGAAGUACAUUGAGGCUGGUGCUUCUGAGCAUGCAAGGAGCCUUGGUCCAAAAGGGUCAGAUUGUCACAAGGCAGCUGUUAUUGGUGACACCAUUGGAGACCCCCUCAAGGAUACAUCAGGGCCUUCACUUAACAUCCUUAUCAAGCUCAUGGCCGUUGAGUCUCUUGUGUUUGCUCCCUUCUUUGCGACACAUGGUGGCCUACUCUUCAAGAUCUAAAGGAUUCAAUAGAAAAAAGAGCAUCGUCCAUCAAUUUUCUACAAUGGCAGAACAAGGAAAAGCCCGUUCCUUUACCAGUGCCUUCUCUUUUUUGUUAGUCUUUAACUCAUCUGUCAUGUCAAUUCCAUUGUUUUUGAAACCUUUCCAUCCCCCACCUUGAAACAAAAGUAUAAUUUGUCUCAUGUAGUUUUAAGACACUCGAUUAGGCUGAGCCUGCAGCGAAAAUUUUCCUUGUAAAGAGGAGGUUGAUGAUGACGACGACGACGAUGAUGUUUACCAUCUCUCCCGCGUGGUCAAUUUUCUUAUAUAUUCCUUUUGGAUGGUCCAAUUUUCUUAAUAUUUCCUUACCAUAUUUUAUAUAUA